CAUUUUCUUCUCUUCUUAAACUCACAACACUAGGGCUAUGCUUGUGAAUUGUGAUAUACCUCACAUCUCAGAGAUGCUGCAGCAUCCUCUUACUAUUUUUUGAUUAACAAAAAUACAUUUUUUAUGAAGCAAACACCAUUUGCUUGAUUACCUAUAGUUAGUGUAUUCCCUCUCUUUCAAAGAUGCAUAUUUUUUUUAUUCAAAGUCAGCAUCAGAAUAUCAAUCACUCGUAUUUUUCCAAUUAACUAAUCAUCUUGUAUUUUUCCAAUCUUGGUGGCAUAAACCGAGUUUCUUGAUUUUUGGGGGGUUUUGAAAUGAAAAUUGGAGAUUCUGGUUUACAGUAACUGUUUUUUUUGUGUGUGGAUUUGAGCCAAAUUAAAGCGCCUAUAUAUAUGUAUAUAUUUCAGGAUUGAAUAUCUCUUUGAAAUAGUACUCCAUCAGGGAUCUGAAAUACAGAAGAGUUGUUGUUUUCUGAUGUGGCAUCAUCAAGAUUCACAUGCAAAAGCAGUCAUCUAUCAAACUAUGCUAAUCUGCUUUGGAAGGUGAGAAUCUUGAUGAUGCUGCAUCGGCAAUAAACGACUACAAAUGCUCGGUUCACAAGCUUCCCCAAUUUCCAAUUGCUUUUUUUUUUUUACUAUUCUCCCUACUCUCUCUCUCUCUCGACAUGAUUGACUGGUGAUUGAACUUCACUCUGCAGAUGAUGAAGCGUUGCUUCAAACUGCAUAGAUUUGUGAUUGUUCUUCUGCUCCACCCAGAAUAAACUUUAAUUUGAUGCAACUCCUUUUCUACACUACUAUAUUUAAGUUUUUCCUCCAACUUGUGCUCUAAUUUAAUCUAAUUUUCUCUAUUUCAGCACAAUUAUACUAUUCUGGUAUGACAUCAAUCCAAAGACCCGGUCUUUGCGCAACAAGUUGAAAUUAUUAGAGAUAAUCAGAUGAUUGAAGCUAGUUAUAGGAGAAGGAAGAAUGUAUGAUCGCAACUUAUAUGUCUUACUCUUAUUAUUUGGAAAAUUUUAGUUUCCUUCUCUCGACGAGGUAGAGAUCCUCUCAAUUAGUAUACAAGUUUACUCCAAUUGAUUGAUUGAAUUAACAAAGUUCAACAUAUAGUAUAUUUGAAUACUAACCCUAAUUAAUCAGCACAUCCUCUUUCAAUCUCUCAACAUAUGCAAGAAGAGAGUUUGUAGUUGUUGUUCGUUAAUAUCCUAGUAGUAAUUCCUAACGUAUAUUUGUAUGUAUAGGUACAUUACUCCCUCCGUCUUAUUCUUAUUUGAUACUAUGUCUCAUUUUCUUUCGA